GACGAAGGGGGCUAGCGUUGUUCGGAAUUACUGGGCGUAAAGCGCGUGUAGGCGGUUGUUCAAGUCAGGUGUGAAAACCUUGAGCUCAACUCAAGAAAUGCACUUGAUACUGGAUGACUAGAGGACCGGAGAGGAUAGUGGAAUUCCCAGUGUAGUGGUGAAAUACGUAGAGAUUGGGAAGAACACCAGUGGCGAAGGCGGCUAUCUGGACGGUUUCUGACGCUAAGACGCGAAAGCGUGGGGAGCAAACAGG
rnacentral:rRNA from 1 species